UUGUUUUUCUUCUCCAGUAUAAAAACUUACCUCGUGCUGCAGCAGCCCUCUUGUUUCCAGCGGUGGGUGUGUGGAGAGAAUGCAAGCCAGGAAGGAACUGAUAUAUUCGGGCAUUGGCUAAACCCGAAACACUACACGUGUAGGGUCUCCCACCCAUCCUCCUCCUCUAACGAAAAAAGAAAAAGCUGUGUGGAGGGUUGGUAAGGACCUGAGUAAACAUCUCAAAAUUUAUCCAAAUCUGAUGUAUUUUCAUUGAUGAAUUUCCUGUGGAACACUGCAUCUUCCCACUGGUGGCGGCAUCAUUUACUUUGCUUCUGUCAGGACUGAACAGUCAAAAAGAUAUUAUUAUGUGUACUAAUGAAGGCAAGUCAAAUUCCAACAUGAAUAAAUUGUUGUGAGAGGUAA